GGCUCAGAUUGAACGCUGGCGGCAGGCCUAAUACAUGCAAGUCGAACGGUAACAUAAGAAAGCUUGCUUUCUUGGUGACGAGUGGCGGACGGGUGAGUAAUAUUUGGGAAGCUACCUGAUAGAGGGGGACAACAGUUGGAAACGACUGCUAAUACCGCAUACAGCCUGAGGGUGAAAGCAGCAAUGCGCUAUCAGAUGCGCCCAAACGGGAUUAGCUAGUAGGUGAGGUAAAGGCUCACCUAGGCGACGAUCUCUAGCUGGUCUGAGAGGAUGAUCAGCCACAUUGGGACUGAGACACGGCCCAGACUCCUACGGGAGGCAGCAGUAGGGAAUAUUGCACAAUGGGCGAAAGCCUGAUGCAGCGACGCCGCGUGAGCGAAGAAGUAUUUCGGUAUGUAAAGCUCUAUCAGCAGGGAAGAUAAUGACGGUACCUGACUAAGAAGCACCGGCUAAAUACGUG
rnacentral:rRNA from 1 species